ACAGCAUGAUGUGGACACUUUCGUAAAGGUCCUUCAUCCUCUCCCAAGUUUCAUGAAAAGGUUCUCCCUCUAUUUGCGAAAAGCUAGUAAUGUCUCUUCGUAUUU